rnacentral:rRNA from 1 species
UACGUGAGGGUGCAAGCGUUAAUCGGAAUUACUGGGCGUAAAGCGUGCGCAGGCGGCUUUGCAAGACAGAUGUGAAAAUCCCCCGGGCUCAACCUGGGAACUGACAUUUGUGACUGCAUGGCUUGAGUUUGGGAGAGGGACGCGGAAUUCCAGGUGUAGCGGUGAAAUGCGUAGAUAUCUGGAGGAACACCGGUGGCGAAGGCGGCGGUCC